rnacentral:rRNA from 1 species
GACGAACGCUGGCGGCGUGCUUAACACAUGCAAGUCGAGCGGAAAGGCCACUUCGGUGGUACUCGAGCGGCGAACGGGUGAGUAACACGUGAGUAAUCUGCCCUUCACUUUGGGAUAACCCCCGGAAACGGGAGCUAAUACCGGAUACGACCUUCAACCGCAUGGUUUGUCGGUGGAAACUUUUUUGGGUGGGGGAUGUGCUCGCGGCCUAUCAGCUUGUUGGUGGGGUAAUGGCCUACCAAGGCUUUGACGGGUAGCCGGCCUGAGAGGGUGACCGGCCACACUGGGACUGAGACACGGCCCAGACUCCUACGGGAGGCAGCAGUGGGGAAUAUUGGACAAUGGGCGGAAGCCUGAUCCAGCAACGCCGCGUGAGGGAUGACGGCCUUUGGGUUGUAAACCUCUUUCAGCACCGACGAAGCGCAAGUGACGGUAGGUGCAGAAGAAGGACCGGCCAACUACGUGCCAGCCGCCGCCGUAAAAC